GCCCAGUGAUGAUACCAAGGCGAAUGUGAGCUCACUGGAUGGGAGUCUGAGUUCUUCUGCUGUCCUGUUGGCUGGUAAUCUUGACAAGGCAGUGGAGAUUUGCUGCACUGUUGUAAGGGCCAGCCUAUAGUUAUUAAGCUCCUCCCUUUACACGCUCCUCUAAAGAAAGGAGUGAGAGUAAGUGUGGGUGCUGACAAGUUUUGUGUGUGUGUUUGUGUGUGUGUGUGUGUUUGGGGACACAGACAGAUUCUCAGCUCUAUCCUCUGUAUCCAGUGGGCCAUGAACUGCAUCUUUGGUAAUCUGAGGGUG